UUUCUGGGCCAUGAUUCAUCAAGUCCAUCCAUUUCUUCUUAUCCCUCUUAAGUUAACUUCCACUUGAUUUUGUUUGUUUAUUCAUUGUUUCUCCUUUUAUUUUUCUUUGCAUCACCUAACCUUGUCUCAUCUCAACCUCAAUUCCAACUCCAAAAGCCUCUAAUAUACUAAAACUGUUCCAAGUCAACUUUCUGAUCCAGCUUAAUUGGCUGGCCUCCUGAUCCUAUAAAGUUGUCCACCUUGUGCUGUUGAUCAUCUUAUCUCAGGGAGCAUAGGUUCUUGACACUCCUCCAUCCCUUCUUUCAGUUUAAUGGCGGAAUAUGGCGGCAACCCCUUCUUCAGCUGCAGGAGCUGCAAAAACCCUCUGGCUCUGCACGAAGAUCUUCUGUCAAAAAAAUAUUGGGCAAAAUCUGGGGCAGCAGCAUACAUGUUCUCUCAUGCAAUGAACGUCAUUGUGGGACAAAAGGAGGAUAGGAAGUUGAUUACUGGUGUUUUUUCUGUUGCUGACAUAUAUUGCAGCAAUUGUGGUCAAGAAUUAGGAUGGAAGUAUGUUCAAGCUUAUGAUCCGCGGCAGAUGCACAAGGAAGGCAAGUUUAUAAUCGAGAGAGCAAAAAUUCUCAAGGAGUACUAACAAUAAUAGUGUCACAUCAGAGAUGAACAAGGCAAUACAUAAUUACAUACUCCUACUGAGAAUAAGUCUAUUACCAUUUGAAAGUUCUCUCUUCGUUUGUGAAUAUUAUGUCUGCUUGUUUUUGCAGCAACUGAUGUAUUGUUAUGAUUAUCUGAGAAAUAAGAUUAUGUGCUAUCUGUACCUAAUGUUAAAAUUUGAGUUUGUUACCGCAGUU